CAGGGUGUAAUAUAAUAUUGUUUUCGUUUACGUUGAAGGAUUUUUUGUGCAAUUCAAAACGCUCUGA
rnacentral:tRNA from 1 species